UACGUAGGGUGCAAGCGUUAUCCGGAAUUAUUGGGCGUAAAGAGCUCGUAGGCGGUUUGUCGCGUCUGCUGUGAAAACUGGGGGGCUCAACCCCCCAGCCUGCAGUGGGUACGGGCAGACUAGAGUGCGGUAGGGGAGAUUGGAAUUCCUGGUGUAGCGGUGGAAUGCGUAGAUAUCGGAAGGAACAUCAGUGGCGAAAGCGGCUUCCUGGUCCAGCACCGACGUUCAGGCACGAAAGCGUGGGGAGCAAACAGGG
rnacentral:rRNA from 1 species